UACGAAGGUCCCAAGCGUUAUCCGGAUUUAUUGGGUUUAAAGGGUGCGUAGGCGGACUAUUAAGUCAGUGGUGAAAGCCCCCAGCCUAACUGGGGAACUGCCAUUGAUACUGAUGGUCUUGAGUACAUUUGAGGUGGGCGGAAUGUGUCAUGUAGCGGUGAAAUGCUUAGAUAUGACACAGAACACCGAUUGCGAAGGCAGCUCACUAAACUGUAACUGACGCUGGAGGCACGAAAGCGUGGGGAGCAAACAGG
rnacentral:rRNA from 1 species